rnacentral:lncRNA from 10 species
GAGUUGCAUGAAUAUCAAACAAAGGUAAUACAGGUUGAGUAUCCCUAAUCCAAAAGUCUGAAAUCCAAAAUGCUCUAAAAUCUAAAACUUUUUGAGUGCUGACAUGAUUCUCAAAGAUGAAAUGUCCACUGUAGCAUUUCUAAAACACUUCUGGUCCCAAGCAUUUCUGAUAAGGGAUACUCAACCUGUAUCAGAAUGCAGCAA